UUGCCACCUUACAUAUUAACGG
rnacentral:miRNA from 1 species